GUGCACCAGGCGAGAAACCUCCGCAAUGCUCGAAAGAGCGACGGGGGGACUCCAAGUGCCUACGCUUUGCGUAGGCUUUUCCCAAGCCUAAAAAGCUUGGGGAAUAAGGGCUGGGUAAGACGGGUGCCAGCCGCCGCGGUAAUACCCGCAGCCCGAGUGGUGGCCGCUUUUAUUGGGCCUAAAGCGUCCGUAGCCGGUCUGGUAAAUGCCUGGGUAAAUCGUCUGGCUCAACCAGACGAAUUCCGGGUAGACUGCCAGACUAGGGACCGGAGGAAGGAGAGGGGUACUCCGGGGGUAGGGGUGAAAUCCUGUAAUCCUCGGAGGACCACCGGUGGCGAAGGCGCUCUCCUAGGACGGGUCCGACGGUGAGGGACGAAAGCCAGGGGAGCAAACCGGAUUAGAUACCCCGGUAGU
rnacentral:rRNA from 1 species